GGUGCGUAGGCGGCUUUUUAAGUCAGUGGUGAAAUCCUGCCGCUUAACGGUAGAAUUGCCAUUGAUACUGAAGAGCUUGAGUUCAGUUGAGGUAAGCGGAAUGUGUAGUGUAGCGGUGAAAUGCUUAGAUAUUACACAGAACACCAAUUGCGAAGGCAGCUUACUAAACUGACACUGACGCUGAUGCACGAAAGCGUGGGGAGCGAACAGGAUUAGAUACCCUGGUAGUCCACGCCGUAAACGAUGUUCACUCGCUGUUUGCGAUACACAGCAAGCGGCCAAGCGAAAGCAUUAAGUGAACCACCUGGGGAGUACGAUCGCAAGGUUGAAACUCAAAGGAAUUGACGGGGGCCCGCACAAGCGGAGGAACAUGUGGUUUAAUUCGAUGAUACGCGAGGAACCUUACCUGGGCUUAAAUGUAGAACGACAGAUUGUGAAAGCAGUCCUUCUUCGGACGUUUUACAAGGUGCUGCAUGGUUGUCGUCAGCUCGUGCCGUGAGGUGUCGGGUUAAGUCCCAUAACGAGCGCAACCCUUAUCGUUAGUUGCCAGCGGGUCAAGCCGGGGACUCUAGCGAGACUGCCACCGUAAGGUGUGAGGAAGGUGGGGAUGACGUCAAAUCAGCACGGCCCUUAUGUCCAGGGCUACACACGUGUUACAAUGGCCGGUACAAAGGGCAGCUACUUCGCGAGAAGAUGCUAAUCUCGAAAGCCGGUCUCAGUUCGGAUCGAAGUCUGCAACCCGACUUCGUGAAGCUGGAUUCGCUAGUAAUCGCAUAUCAGCCACGAUGCGGUGAAUACGUUCCCGGGCCUUGUACACACCGCCCGUCAAACAAUGGAAGCUGGGGGUACCUGAAGUCUGUAACCGAAA
rnacentral:rRNA from 1 species